rnacentral:rRNA from 1 species
CAGUCGCCGCGGUAAUACGUAGGGUGCGAGCGUUAAUCGGAAUUACUGGGCGUAAAGCGUGCGCAGGCGGUUCGUUAAGACAGAUGUGAAAUCCCCGGGCUUAACCUGGGAACUGCAUUUGUGACUGGCGAGCUAGAGUAUGGCAGAGAGGGGUAGAAUUCCACGUGUAGCAGUGAAAUGCGUAGAGAUGUGGAGGAAUACCGAUGGCGAAGGCAGCCCCCUGGGCCAAUACUGACGCUCAUGCACGAAAGCGUGGGGAGCAAACAGGAUUAGAGACCCGUGUAGUCCCUGUCUCUUAUAC